rnacentral:rRNA from 1 species
UACGUAGGGUGCAAGCGUUGUUCGGAAUCACUGGGCGUAAAGGGCGCGUAGGCGGGUUUGCAAGUCGAUUGUGAAAUCCCAGGGCUUAACCCUGGAGCUGCAGUCGAAACUGCAAGUCUUGAAUGUCUGAGAGGGUGGGAGAAUUCCUGGUGUAGUAGUGAAAUACGUAGAUAUCAGGAGGAAUACCGGCGGCGAAGGCGCCUACCUGGCAGUACAUUGACGCUGAGGCGCGAAGGCGUGGGGAGCGAACAGG